rnacentral:ribozyme from 1 species
UCAUCGUCCCUUUCUUCUUCUUCUUCUUCUUCGGCAUCCGCUGCUCCUCGUACCACUCCUGCCAAGUCUGUCCCAACUGUGCUGGCCAUCUCUGAGGAGACACGUGCCAUCAUCAAGCACAAGACAGGCG